GGUGAUCUCACAAUUUGCUCUGCCAACUUGUUAGAAAUUCCCACUGGAAACAUUCAGAAGGAAAAUUAUCCCUCAGAGAUAUCACACUUUGAAGUUCCCAGCAGCUUCCCUGGGUACAUUAGCCUUGUAGAGAGCUCCCAGCAGCAAAAAAACCCCAGAGGAAUGUAAAUUCCAUGGAACAGGAUACCCAAACAUCCCUGCUGGAGUGGUAGUGUGCUUUGCUGGACACAGUAAUCCCAUCUCAAGCCAUAAAUACAUAAAGUAGCUGAUCCUGCUGUGGGCAAGGCUUUUGCCCACUGUUGGAACGGGAAUGCUGAGGAGUUCCAAUUUGUGACUGCACCAACAGAAUUCACCUCUUUGCUGAUUUAGCUGAGGGCAGAACUUGACCCUCUGUCCUCGUUAGCUCCACUCCAUGUCAGAGACACUUCAACCACCAGAUCUGUGUUCCAAACCUCCUUAUGGUAUGUUAUCAUAUAAUAAAUAUGUGAUUAAUGAUAACUGAGCACCACUUAAUGAAAGGUUUUCUUGCUUUUUCUUUUUAUAUUACCGCACGUAAUCUGAACCUCUGAUAAUUAAAUGUUACAUAAAACAUUCCAAUACUAGCAAUCCUGGGAGCAUCUUUUUUGAACACUUGGCAACCUUGCAAUGGUUUGUCAUUAACAAGCAUGCCCUAAUGUGACAUUCCACUUCAGCAGCCUCUCUGAGAAGGUCUAUUUUUUAUAUAUAUUUUUUUUUUCUUUUUUUCCCAUUGCAGCCAGGAGCUGAAGGCUGAGUUGUCCAGCAGAAGAAGCAGGUGUUGCAGCGCUGCUCCCUGUGGAGGUUAUUUCAAUACCCAGACGUCAUUAGCGCUGAGCUGCAGGACGUGGCAGUGCAGUAAAUGCGUCACGUUGCACUGGCUGCCGUGGUCCUCUGGUGCCUCCUGCCAUGGAUCAUCCUGGGAUCCUGGCAGCAAAGGUAACAUCUUGCCAGGGAGGAAAUGCUCUCUGUGCAAAUUCUUGCUUGCCGUGUUGGAGAGGCUCUACUCACUCUGGGGACCUGCAAGAUUCUUCAGCUUCUUGUCCCAGGAAAACCUACCCCAGUUUUACAAGGUCACUACAAUAAGGGAUAUUUUAUCUGUGGGUUGUGAUUCUAAUUUGAGUCCAGCUUCCAGACGAGUUCUGUAUCACUGACCAAGUCCUGGGCAGUGCAGGCUGAGGAGCAACCAACUCCAGUAUCCUUUGAUGGAGCAGGGACUGGCUCUGCUUUGUGCCAGACUGACCUUGAUGAAGGGCUGAUCCCACCCUGGCAGGACUCUGGCUCCAGCUCUGAUAUCACCUCUCCCUUCCUAGGCCCAUUCCAAUUUAGAGUUUAAGGCUGCCUCAGUUCUUCUCCAAAUAUAAAAAAAAUAAAUAAAGAAAAAAAUUGAUUAAAUCCA
rnacentral:lncRNA from 1 species